AACGCACCUUGCGCUCCUUGGUAUUCCGAGGAGCAUGCCUGUUUGAGUGUCUUGAAGUCAUCAACCCCUUCCGUUUUGUGCGGCUUGGGUGUUGGAUAUGGGGGCUUGCUGCCGAGAGGCGGCUCCCCUCAAAUGCAUCGGUUGGGCCUGUGGGUCGUACUCGAUUGGGCGUUGUAUUAUCCUCGCUUUAACGGGAUGUUCCCCUCCUUGCGCCCCUCCACGACCUGCCUUUUGAGUGGCGGUCAAGCAACUUUUGAAAUUCUGACCUCAAAUCAGGUAGGACUACCCGCUGAACUUAA
rnacentral:misc_RNA from 1 species